rnacentral:lncRNA from 1 species
GUAAAACUCUAUUUCUCUGGAUCUCAGAUCAUCAAUUGGCGCCGUCUGUGGGAACGAAGGAGAUCUUUUCAUCACCGGAGUUCCACUCUUAACAAAACCCACUGAGAUCCACGAUGGCUAAUCACAAUGAAAGCAACCUUAACAUCCCAAAUGACCUGAGCUCUGCCCAAGAGGGGCAGCAGUUCUCCUUUUCUAGCCCUACAACACUAAAUAACCAAACACCCAUUCCUCUCAAUCCCUCGCCAAGCUUGGCAGGGAAUGCUCCCACCGCUACCUUAUCCAACCAGGACCUUCAAACCAUGGCCCUCCAACUACAGAACACCGCCCACUGGUUGGGGCAGAUAAUGCAACAAAGGGGCCUCAGCACCCCGAUGAGUACACUCCCAGUGGUAGAAGAACCCC